rnacentral:rRNA from 1 species
GACGAACGCUGGCGGCGUGCUUAACACAUGCAAGUCGAACGAUGAAGCUGGAGCUUGCUCUAGCGGAUUAGUGGCGAACGGGUGAGUAACACGUGAGCAAUCUGCCCUUGACUCUGGGAUAACUGCGGGAAACUGUAGCUAAUACCGGAUACUUUCACCGGGGGGCAUCCUCUGGUGAUGAAAGAAUUUCAGUCAAGGAUGAGCUCGCGGCCUAUCAGCUUGUUGGUGAGGUAACGGCUCACAAAGGCGACGACGGGUAACCGGCCUGAGAGGGUGACCGGUCACACUGGGACUGAGACACGGCCCAGACUCCUACGGGAGGCAGCGGUGGGGAAUAUUGCACAAUGGGCGCAAGCCUGAUGCAGCAACGCCGCGUGAGGGAUGAAGGCCUUCGGGUUGUAAACCUCUUUUAGCAGGGAAGAAGCGAAAGUGACGGUACCUGCAGAAAAAGCACCGGCUAACUACGUGCCAGCAGCCGCGGUAA